AACGUACAAACCUUAUCGAUAAACAAUUGGAGGGCAAGUCUGGUGCCAGCAGCCGCGGUAAUUCCAGCUCCAAUAGCGUAUAUUAACGUUGUUGCAGUUAAAAAGCUCGUAGUUGAAAUGAAGGGUAGUUGUGUAAUGAAUACAUUCGUGUAUUUUGUUAUUCUACUACCCUCCUUCUAAAUUCGAUAUAUGAGUAUUAAUUUACUUGUAUAUGGUUUUAGACGUUUACUGUGAGAAAAUUAGAGUGUUCAAAGCAGGCAUUUGCUUGAAUAUAUUAGCAUGGAAUAAUCAUGUAUGAUUUUCAUGAUGUAUUUGAUUGGUUUGGUUCAUGAGAAUAAGAUUAAAAGGGACAGUUGGGGGUAUUCAUAUUCAAUAGUCAGAGGUGAAAUUCUCGGAUUUAUGGAAGAUGAACAAGUGCGAAAGCAUUUACCAAGGAUGUUUUCAUUAAUCAAGAACGAAAGUUAGGGGAUCGAAGAGGAU
rnacentral:rRNA from 1 species